UACGUAGGGCGCAAGCGUUAUCCGGAAUUAUUGGGCGUCAAGAGCUCGUAGGCGGUUUGUCGCGUCUGCCGUGAAAGUCCGGGGCUCAACUCCGGAUCUGCGGUGGGUACGGGCAGACUAGAGUGAUGUAGGGGAGACUGGAAUUCCUGGUGUAGCGGUGAAAUGCGCAGAUAUCAGGAGGAACACCGAUGGCGAAGGCAGGUCUCUGGGCAUUAAUUGACGCUGAGGAGCGAAAGCAUGGGGAGCGAACAGG
rnacentral:rRNA from 1 species